ensembl:lncRNA
AAAUGUGUGGUUCAUCAUUCUGUAAUUGCUUAUACCAGUGAGAUUUAAGUUAUAUUUCCUAUCACUGUAUAUAAGUAGGCCAACCCAGAGUUGUGAGAGCCGUUUCCCCUCUGGGACGAGAGGUAGUGUGUCAUAUAAAGUCUCCAUUUCUGCUUCUCCUCCAACUUCACUCUAAGCACGGGGACAGAGGAAGAGACUGUGCAUGACAACACUAUUCGCAGGCCUCGAGGAAAAUCGCAGUUCUUCUGCCAAUCUCAGUCACUGUCAUCCAAGUUCAACCUGCACUUUGUGACGCUUGAUACGUUUACAGGCCGCGGGGGCUCCUGAAACAGUCGGGUUUAUCAUUGUUGUGCUGUUCAUUUCUUUUUUGUCACCUUUUCUCGUUUAUGCUACCUGGCUGAUUUAAGCAUGCUUUGGGUGAGUUUUUUUUUUUCUUUUUCUGAAGGUGAUGGGUGACAUAGAAGGCCUCGACAACGCAUCCAGCACGGUGCCCUGCCCGGCUCAGAGCUCUGACAAACAGAGGGAGGACAAAGGAGGCGACGCUCUCCAGCUACGGAAACGAAAGAAACAAUUCUGGCGGUCCCAUCGUGUUGAGCCAAUAGGAGGAAACAGGUGUGACUCCAGUUUUGCACUACAAGACCUCAAUCAAUGACACCAGAUGGAAGAGAGAAUAAACACUGAGUCCUCUUAUUGAUCAUUUAGCAAUGCACUGCAGAAGUUAUGCAUUCUGAAUGUUACUUUUCCUGCUCUUUGUGUUAAAAUCAGCGUUUAUUAAUCUGACAACAGCUCUCAUCACCUGUUUGUUUUUUAGUAGUUACAAAAAACAUCCCCCUGUUCUGUGUAUUGUGUAGUACUUCAAAGAAUCACAGUGAGAAAUGCACUGUACUUUUCACUCUUGAGACCCUGUGCAAGUAAACAUAAAUGGUGUAUGUGAACUGAUAAGCCAUCUGUGACCUAAUAAAGCAAAUAAAUACUUCACCACCACUUCUAAUGGAUACAGGUUGUUAAGUGCUGGGGACUGCCUCAACACAAUGAAAUAUGAAGAUUCUUAAAGUCACUAAUCAGAACACGAGUGAUAAAAUAUCAAUAUUGGCCCCACAUUAAGCAGGAUAAUAUUCAGGCCAGCUUGAUUUGUAUUGAAUAUGUGUCUGCUAGCCGGUGCUUAGUGUAAUGAAGUGGCUCACAAAUCAGACUGUAAUGGCCGCCUACUUACACAUAUUGCUUAAUUAAAGGUUGUGAGCUUAUUAGCAUGUGUCUCUGCACAGGGUGGAGGGAGAUGAGGAUCGGGACUGCUGUCAUUGAGGGCCAGGCUUUAAAGGUUUUAUAGAUAGCUAACCUAUCAUACUAAAGCCAUAGCACCCCCUGCCACCCCCCUAAAAUCGGAUCUUAAUAACCUGUCAUUUUCAUUGAUGAUGAUUCUCCUUUAUGGGCAGCCAUUAUAGAUCAACUUCUGGGUCUUGCUGAAUGGCGAUAGCGCCCGUUUGCGGCCCAUCAUUAUCGCGAACACACCUUACUUUUGCCUUGAAGUUGCUCCUCACCUCCAUGUUUAAACCAUCACAGCCCUGCCCCUAUGGCCCGGUGCACAGUGCGUAUGGACACACACACACAUACAAGAGGCCUCUCCAUCCCUAUAAAAGAGGGAGAAUAAUGAAAGCACUUUAAGGCUCAUAAGUCCAUUUUUAAUACAGAAAAUGAAGUUAGAAGACAUCGGCAUACUUGUUGAUAGGUUAUCUGUAAUUUAUGCAAAUGUCAGCUAUUUGUUUAUCACAGUGUACCUCCAGCAUUCGCAGGAUGUGUCAGAGUAGUGUUGCACCUUGCCCUUCUGUCUGCCUUUGACACUAGCCAGAACCUACAGAGCUAAUUAGAGAUCGCUCCAUUAACGGUGACAGUGCUACACCCACCAAUUCAAUCAGCCCUGAAAUGAACAUUAAACAGAGACGCUGUUUUUCAGAGAUGACAGGAAGCUCUUUCUCUAAUUUUCUUACCUUGCUGCCUGCGUCAUUUCACGGACCUACUCAGUGUCCUCUGUCUUACUUUGUUCUAUAGUAUAUAUGUGACAUGACCUUGGUCUGAGGUCAUCGCAGCUAAAUAAUGGACACAUUUCACCUGUUUUCUCGUUUGCUUCGGCACGUUAUUCUCUUUUUUCAUAUAUAAAUAGAGAAAAUUUGA